CCAUUUCGCUGUCGAGAGCGUUUCUGUGUUGAUUGAAACCAUAGACAGUAAAAGAAACAAGCUUCAGUUCAUUCUUGGUUUUACAAAUGAGGACGUCCCCAAAGGGAGAUUUUUGGAGAUUUUGUCAGGUUUAGCUGACCUUUGGGUACAAAUUUGUCCCCAAAAUAUGGAUAAGAAAGCGUAAAGGCGCAGUGCUGUCAUGUAUGGAGUGCUGUGCUGGUCCCCCACCCCCUCGUCUUCUGUCAUAGUGGUGGCAGGUCUGUCCCGACCAGGAGCAGAUUGAAUUGCAAAUCUCCUGACUUCUGUCGGCGUCCGAGGCUGAACUGGCCCUUUGCAGUCGGCCAUUCAUGUGGUAAUAUGAAGUCCGAGGGGCAAGAGGGGCCCUGGGGCCACAGAGAGUCACUUUCGGGGACACUCCCAAUUGACGUCCA
ensembl:lncRNA